AGAGUUGUGGCUCAGUGGUAGAGCACUUGCCUUGCAUACAUGAGGCACUGGGUUCAAUCCUCAGCACCACAU
rfam:Ictidomys tridecemlineatus contig042586, whole genome shotgun sequence.